rnacentral:snRNA from 1 species
CUGCUUUGGCAGCAUAUAUACUAAAAUUGGAAUGAUACAGAGAAGAUUAGCACGGCCCCUGCACAAGGAUGACAUGCAAAUUUGUGAAACAUUCUAUAUUUAA